GGCCCGUACAUAUGCACAGCCGGCUCCAGUGUGUUUAUAGACCAAGGUGGGUGUAUUUAUAAAAGCGGGGUCAGCUGUGCGCCCUUUGCUGGGUGCAGGCUCUGGGGGGGUCGCUGAAGUGACAGGGCGCGGUGGGUCCUUCCCCACCCAUGGCACCCAGGAACGGGUCUGCAAAGCACCCAGUGAGCCCUGCAGCCCCUCGGGAGCAGCUCUCUGCCAAAAGUGUAAAAUUGCAUUGCCAGAAGAAAAAUGAACGUGUUGCGAGUGGCUGGGAAACACAAGUGGCAGGAGGUGGCUCUGAGCAGCUAUUUUAGUGGUUUAUGUUAAAAACACAGGCAGUGAGUGCCCCUGGCAGAGCCGGAGAUGCCAGCGUUUCAGAUAAAUGUGUUGAAGAAAAGAGAGAGGAAAAAAAAAACCCAAAGAUUUGUGCUUCCUUAGGAGGUUUGCAAACGUGGUCUUUGGAGGACCAAGGAUGCUGAUUAACUUGAACAAGCAGACAAAGACCCUGACAUCAAUUAAAUACUGCUGAUGAGAAACUGCGAAGGGAUUUGUCCAAAGUAUUGGUUACCUAAUGCGGUGGCAGGAGGUGUCUGACAUUGCCUUGAGCAUCGCUGCUCAUGCUGAGGAUGCCAGAGAAGGGAGAGACGUGCUGUGCCCAGAGCUUUGGGACCAUUGCUGGUGCUGUCUGCCCCGGUCGGGGCUUGUGUCAUCGGUCCUGAAGCUGCUGGUUGUGAGACGGAGUCACUGCUGCCCUGUGAGGACCCUGGGCCAUCUGCCAGCAGCUUGUGCCCGUGUGCAGCUCACGUAGGCUGGGCUGAGCUCUCAGCCUGGCUCUCCAGCUGCCCGACAUCCCUCAGGCUCACCGGUGAGGAUGUGCUAAUGUGGGUUUUGGACUAAGUUCAUUUAAUGGUCACUUGGCACCGAAACAAAUGUAUUAGAUUUGUUGGAGAAAAUGUAAAUGCAGUUAAGUGGCUCUUAUAGUUCCAGCCUGGCUGAGGGAGAUGAUGUGGGGGUUAGUGCUUCUUGACUUGGGGCUUUGCUGCUCCAGACUCUCCACGUGGUUUGGGACAUCCCCAUCACUCCUCAUCCCCUUCUCUCCUGCUGGCAGCAUUCCCUGAGCCUGGGGGAGGGCUGAGGGGAGAACCAGGGGUGAAGACACCAAGGCUCAGAGGCAGUGGUGACCAGAGAGCCUGAAACGCUCUCAGUGGCUUUGGUGAUCACUUAGGAGAGGCAGGGAUGUCCUGCGAAGGUGAAUGCUGGUGCCAGGGCCUCAGCAACUCCAGGGAAGUGUUGUGCUGCCCUGAAUAACCAGCUCUUGACACACCAGAUGCAUGGGGGAUAGUUAAUGAAGCCCCACAGAUUGUUAUGUGAGCAGACAAGCAUUGUGAAGUUCUCCUGAAGUUACUUAAACCAAACAGUGCCAGCAGCCUCCAGCACUCCCUUCCCUCUCAUCAUCAGUCAAAGCAAAGUUGAAAUAAUAGCACACAUCUCUCUGCAAGCCAUGAGACAGCGAGUCACCGGGAAGAGGCUGAGAGCAGCUCCUUGGAGCUCGUGCUGCUUGUCUCCCAGCAUCCCAGCUCUCCUGGUGGUGAAGAAUGACAGCCCUGAUUGGCACUGGGUUGGAGCAGAACUGCUUUAUUUUAAAUAAAGUCUUAGGGGAAACAAAA